UACGUAGGCAGCAAGCGUUGUUCGGAAUUACUGGGCGUAAAGAGUGUGUAGGCGGUGCUCCAAGUCUGGUGUGAAAUCUCCCGGCUUAACUGGGAGGGUGCAUUAGAAACUGGAAUGCUAGAGGAUGGGAGAGGUAAGCGGAAUUCCUGGUGUAGCGGUGAAAUGCGUAGAUAUCGAGAGGAACACCUGCGGCGAAGGCGGCUUGCUGGGCCAGUUCUGACGCUGGAGGAGCGAAAGCGUGGGGAGCGAACAGG
rnacentral:rRNA from 1 species